UGCCCCAUGGCUGAGUUGGUUACAGCGUCCGACUGUUAAGUUAACACAUCGGAAGGUCGUGAGUUCGAGCCUCACUGGGGCAG